CCUACGGGAGGCAGCAGUGGGGAAUUUUGGACAAUGGGCGCAAGCCUGAUCCAGCAAUGCCGCGUGAGUGAAGAAGGCCUUCGGGUUGUAAAGCUCUUUUGUCAGGGAAGAAACGGUGGGGGCUAAUAUCUCCUACUAAUGACGGUACCUGAAGAAUAAGCACCGGCUAACUACGUGCCAGCAGCCGCGGUAAUACGUAGGGUGCAAGCGUUAAUCGGAAUUACUGGGCGUAAAGCGUGCGCAGGCGGUUUUGUAAGUCUGUCGUGAAAGCCCCGGGCUCAACCUGGGAAUUGCGAUGGAGACUGCAAGGCUUGAAUCUGGCAGAGGGGGGUAGAAUUCCACGUGUAGCAGUGAAAUGCGUAGAGAUGUGGAGGAACACCGAUGGCGAAGGCAGCCCCCUGGGUCAAGAUUGACGCUCAUGCACGAAAGCGUGGGGAGCAAACAGGAUUAGGUACCCUGGUAGUCCACGCCCUAAACGAUGUCUACUAGUUGUCGGGUUUUAAUUAACUUGGUAACGCAGCUAACGCGUGAAGUAGACCGCCUGGGGAUACGGUCGCAAGNUUAAAACNCAAAUGAAUUGACCGGNUGNGAGNGCGAGACGACGACGAGGAGGAGG
rnacentral:rRNA from 1 species